UUUAAAAGCCCAUCUCAUUUUAUCUCCACCGUUGGAUCACAAGAAUCCAAUGACCAUCGAUUUGAUCCAACGGCUCCCGUUCCAUUUCUUAUUUUUAUCUCUAGAGACGACUAACCCCAACCCCAAACCCUAAUUCAUUUACCCUGCUCACCUAGCAGCCCCUUUUCUCUUUCCUCUCUCUAUUCUCUCAAAUCGUAGACCCAUUAAUCCCAGAAACCUUGUGCCUUCUGACUCCUCGAAUCUCAUCGGUAUCUCCCUAUUACAUCAUAUGAAUUUGAAAUCUCAUGUUACUUACACUCAAAGAUGAAACUUCAUGUCUUCAAGAUCUUCUGGUGCUACAACAAAAUCAGAGCAUGCAUGGCAUCUCAUUAUGUUUAUUCGAAACCAGAGGUACCUCUGGAUUUCCGGUCUUUGUGCGAUGGUAUUUCUUGCCUGCAACGACUCUCUUCAACUCAGGUAAAACUCCUAUGAUUUUCCCCUAUGAUCUUUGGAUUUUCACUCAUUUUGCUCGCAUCAUCAAUCUCUCCAUCACUCUCCACUAUCAAUUUGAAUUUUUGUGGAACCCUAAGGCUUCAAUGGCCACUAUAAAUAAAGCCUUCAAUGCUCUCACCUAACACGACCUACCACCUAAUACAAUAUAGAAAAUGAAAGAGAAUUAAAAACCCCUAAACUUCUCACUGAUUUUAUUUUCUUUCUCCGGUUCUGAGUUUAUACGCAGUCUAGGCUUGAGGUUUGGUUUCUUAGCGGCUAAAUAAAAGGUUUCGCUUGGUUUUAUGCUCUGCGAAAGGUCAGUGUACACCGAUCCUUCUUUUCCCUUCAGUUAUGUGUGUUUAUCUAGUGAUUUUGAUGUUUUCUCUUCGUUCAUAAUGCAUGUUUGAUAAUUUCUAUAUGGCCUAUUAUAUUCUUUGCCAUUCUUAUUAAGUUAAAUGCUUUUCCUCAUGAUAAUCCAUGGUUGCUUUAGUGUUGCUUUGUAACCUGUGACUUAAUUAGAUAACACCCGCUAUAAUGAAAUGGCAAAAAAUACUGUUGAACUCUUGUUACUAGUUUAAAAGGCUUCGGAUGUUCUUUUAACCCUAUCAUCAUGCUUACUUGACUAAACUGUGAUCUCAUACCCAUAUGAUGUUUUGCUAGGAACUUAUGUUUGCUGCUUCUGUAUUACACUAGUUAUAAGGUUAAUUAUGUUAUACUAUUAUUGAUCCAUGUCAUGCUUAAUAUGUUCUGUCAUGUUUUGAUUCUUGAAAAACAUCAUUCUGUAAUGAGCUUGAGUGUCCUCUAUUAGUCCUUGUCUGAAGGAUUCAUGUCUAAGCCGCUAUACUUUUAUUGCUUCAUAGAAGAGUAAGUUGAACUUGCCAGUUUUGACAGCUUAAAAAAUAGAGAAUUUGAGGAGAGAAGCUAUUGUUGGCACUCAUAGGCUUAAACAAAUUCUUAAUGUCUGUUUGCCCAGUUAAAAUAAAUACUAUUCUAUAUUAAUUGAUGACCUCUGUUUGUGUAGGUUUAGUUAUGAAUAUGGAUGUUUUGAUUAAGAAUUUAAGGAACUAAUGAUCCUACUACAAAGUUUCAAUCAUGCUAAGAUUGACCUUCUUGUCUACAUUUAUAUCACUCCCUGAACUGAUCAUACCAAGUUAAACUUUAUCAUGUUUGGGCUGAUGCAUUCACCUGUGUAACUGGACUAGUCAUCUUACUAUUUCUACCCUGCUUAUUCCAUGUGAAACCUCCUUUGUUCUAAACUUUUAUAAUUAAUUUAUUGGAUUGACCCUAUACUCCAUCAUGCUGUAGUUUUACACUCCUUAGGGAUAUCUUUGCAUGAGCUUGAUUGUCUGCUCUUGGACUGCUGUACUCAUUCAUGUUAUCAAACAAACUCUCUGCUUAUAUUUCAUACGCAUUCUUAUGUAUUUUAUUGCCCUAUCACAUAAUGAAUAUUGAACCUUGCUAUGUUUGUAUAAGUGAACUAUAAUUCAUUUGUGGAUUUGAGAGAGCAUUCUAAUGAUAUGUGUUCAGCUCAAGUAGAAUAUUAUGCCUCGACUCUUAAUGAACCCAAUGAGAAUGUGAUAUCAGGAAUGUUUUAAGGAGAAAGCAAUCACCUAUUAGAGUUGAAAUCAAUUUGCUAACUUACAUACUCCUUUUGAUGCUCUCUAAAGUUCCUAUAUAAAACUGUUAAUUCAUACAUCCAUUAGAAUCCAAGACUUGACCUGCGUACAAAUCCCUGAUCAACUUAAGCCUGGAACUGUUAAGCAUGAGGAUCCCCUAUAAAUCUGAACUAUGUACCUCUUUUAUUUCAUACUGCCUGACUCAAUAGUUUGACUUUUCGAAAUGAUCAGCCACUAAUCUUUUCCCUUAAUUAUACAUGUUAUCGUUUUCUUUGGAUGUUCUUCUACAUAUUGGUGGUUCUUAGCAAUGAACUACACAUUGGUGUUUGAAUUGUGAUUUCUUUAGUAUUAUCUGUUAUUACAUUUUCCCAGUAACAUUAAGUAUAGUUUCUAUUGGAAGUACACAUUCCUAAGCUUGUGUAUGAUUGUUAUAGUUGUACUUAAAUUUACAAUGAAGGCCUUAUUGGCAUUUAAACCUAUAGGGAGGAGUAAAUGUGAAUUGUUAGAGGUAUUUAGGAAUGAGAUUUGGUUUGUAGUUGAGAUACUCUCCCUGACACAUUCACUCAUCGGGGUCCUUGAAACCCUUGUGAACUUUGAAGUGCCAGUGGCUCAAAGAGUGUCUUUGAUAUAAAUGGAAUGUCAUGUUAAGCCCUUAAUCAUUGACAUUUGCUAAUCACUUAGGGGUUAGUGUUUAAUGAAGAGAAAGGCUUCAUUGUAAUUUUCCAUACUCUGCUCGAUCUUACACAGUCUUAUUUACAUUUCUCCACCACAAAUAUUUGUUAUAGUCUCAUGUGGACCUUACGUUUGAUCUUAUCUACCUUUAAAUAUUUUUUUUGGGUUUUUGUCACUAAUUUCUACCUUUUUCUCUAGAAUAUGUAACUGAUCUGGGCCUACUGAGUUUUCAAGAACUCAGGCCCAAGUUCAAGCUUUUAGUUUGAAGUCAUGGGAGCCACUGCUGCUUGUCUGCUGUUCGCUGGGCCUAACCUUCUUCAGAACCAGAUUACUGAGUCCAAUUCCCUUUCCUUCCUCAAUAGAUGAAUUGAAUCUAUUAUCUUUUCUUUACAUGAGUAUAAUACUAACGAUAUUGAUUGAAUAUUUUAUUUUUUCUCAAAGGUUUUAGGAGCCUAGGAAAUCCAAGAUCCAUAGGUAAUAAAAUAAAUCACUAUUACAUUACGAUCAGUUAUAAAGUUUCGGCGCUUUGAUCAUUUAUUCUUCAUUACAUAAGAUUUCACUUUUAAUUAUACUAACUAUUUUAAUGGAGUUCUUUGAAGUUCAAAACAGAUUUUGAAAAGUAAAUACAAUUCUUCUUCUAAUGCCGAAAUUAAAAAAGAAGAUUUCAAAGUCAGCUCUUUCUAUAAACAAAAAUCAACACGAUUGGAGUCAAGACUGUUAAACCUUUCAAUGAUUUUUCUUCAAACAUGCUGCUACAAAUUGAAAAACAUUUCCAAAGGUAUAUGCAAGGCCCAUUUCCAAUAGUCGUUACUCUACUAGACCC
rnacentral:lncRNA from 1 species